rnacentral:lncRNA from 1 species
CUGCGCUGCUCGGCGAAGCGCAAUAGGUAUGCAUUCCCUGACUUCUGCAGAGGCCGUAUCACUGUAAAUACUGUACGGCCAAUGCCGACAUCGAACUGAGCGUGGAGUCUAAGUGAGAGCAGCAUACCUUGAAGUUGGUGUUGUGGCACAUCUUGGUCGGCUUGUCCAAGUGUUUAAUCAGUAAUGAACAGCAUAAAAAAGACAUAUCUGCAUCCCGUCAUGAUGAUAAAGUAACCAACCUGUCCAGGAACAGAGAGGACUUACCCUGGUAGCAGACGCAGAGGAACAGAACAGAGAAGAGGAUCUUGGCACUGUCCAUGGUAGACACCAUGAUGGGUCACUGAUAACCUGAGCUUUACGGAGGUGUCUGGACUAACACUGAGUGAAGAUCUCUUCCAGAGAACAGAAGAAAUUGGGGGAGGGACCUUGGACCUUGUCUUCCAAUCAGAGUAUGUGAGCGGAGCUGGAGCGGAGUGAGGAGUGGUGCUGGAGCGGAGCAUGCCCAAUUUGACUGGAGCGCGGAGUGAGAUUCCCAAAGGCUGGAGUGACGUCUUUCUCUUCCGCUCCAAUAGCGCUCACUUCACGAGCUCAAGGCAUGCCUGGCCCAGCAUGCAUUUGUAGUCUACUUCUGUGCUACUAAAGCCCCUUGCUUUAGCUACGGUCAUGAAGUUCGCAAAUUAUUUUCAUAAAGAAACUGAUAAUACACACAGGUGCUAAAUCAAGGUGAUUUACAAAGAUGAGGUAUAAGGGCACUAGGCGAGUCCCAGAUGCAGACACGGGAGGCAGAUGAUUUGAGUCUUUGAUAUUUGUUAUAAUCCAAAAGGGUAGGCAAGAGAAUGGGCGUGGACAGGCAAAAGGUCAAAACCAGUUCAGAGUCCAGGAGGUACAGAGUGGCAGGCAGGCCCGAGGUCAAGGCAGGCAGAAAGGUCAUGCAGGCCGGUACAGAGUCCAGAAACAGGCAAGGGUCAAAACCGGGAGGACUAGCAAAAAGAGAAUAGAAAAAGCAGGAGCACGGGAAAAACACGCUGGUUGACUUGAACAUACAAGACGAACUUGCACAGAGACAGGAAACACCGGCAUAAAUACACCGGGGAAAAUAUGCGACACUUGGAGGGGGGUGGAGACAAUCACAAGGACAGGUGAAACAGAUCAGGGCGUGACAUGAGGACCAAGAGCAAGAGAGGGAGUGCUGUGAUGUAGUGUCCACAACUAAAGAAUCGUUGUGGAAUCUGAAAAGACACAAAUCUUAAAGCAUGAUGGGAUACUUACUACAUAAACAUGCUGAAAGAAAGGAAUGAGGUGGGUAGCUCAUUAAGUGUGUCAUUGUAGCAAAGUAUUUUUAAACAAAAAAAAACAGAUCUCUUAAAAGUUUCAUUCAUUUUUGUUCUAUUACCGUUUACCAGAGGUAUUGAACUUUGACCCUACGAGGUACGGAGCCUGCUGGUUUUAUCUUCUACCUGAUACUUAAUUGCACCCACCUGGUGUCCCAGAUCUAAAUCAGUCCUUGAAUACAGGGGAACAAUGAAAAGACGCAGUGGAACUGGCUUUGAGGUCCAGAGUUGAGUUUGAGGGAUCUAUACGAUGGGCCAUAAUUGAUUUUGGCCGCAUACAACUGGCAUAUUCCCACUUUCAAGGACCUUUCUAUUUUGAUUGGGUUAUUUUGCCUGAAAACCUUUAGGCCUACCUACAGUGGCUUGCGGAAGUAUUUACCCCCCUGGCAUUUUUCUUUUUUUGUUGCCUUACAACCUAGAAUUAAAAUAGAUUUUUUUGGGGGUUGUAUCAUUUGAUUUACAAUUUGAAAAUGCAAAAGGUUUUUUCUUGUGAGACAAGAAAAAUAAUUUUAAAAAUUGAAAACUUCAGCAUGCAUAACUAUUCACCCCCCCAAAGUCAAUACUUUGUAGAGCCACCUUUUGCAGCAAGUUUCGGAUAUUUUUUUUAAACCCAAC